rnacentral:rRNA from 1 species
GAUGAACGCUGGCGGCGUGCCUAAUACAUGCAAGUCGAACGAAGGUAGCAAUACCUUAGUGGCGAACGGGUGAGUAACACGUAGGUAACCUGCCUUUCAGUUGGGGAUAACCGAGGGAAACUUUGGCUAAUACCGAAUUCGUGCUUCGAAGGCAUCUUCGGAGCAUAAAAGGGGCCUUUAAAGCCUCGCUGAUUGAUGGACCUGCGGCGCAUUAGUUAGUUGGUGAGAUAACAGCCCACCAAGACGAGGAUGCGUAGCCGACCUGAGAGGGUGAUCGGCCACACUGGAACUGAGACACGGUCCAGACUCCUACGGGAGGCAGCAGUAGGGAGUUUUCGGCAAUGGGGGAAACCCUGACCGAGCAACGCCGCGUGAGUGAUGAAGGUCUUCGGAUUGUAAAGCUCUGUUAUAAGGGAAGAACGGCAGCUAGAGGAAAUGCUAGCUGUUUGACGGUACUUUAUGAGAAAGCCACGGCUAACUACGUGCCAGCAGCCGCGGUAAUACGU